UACAGAGGUCUCAAGCGUUGUUCGGAUUCAUUGGGCGUAAAGGGUGCGUAGGUGGCGUCGUAAGUCGGGUGUGAAAUUUCGGAGCUUAACUCCGAAACUGCAUUCGAUACUGCGGUGCUUGAGGACUGGAGAGGAGACUGGAAUUCAUGGUGUAGCAGUGAAAUGCGUAGAUAUCAUGAGGAAGACCAGUGGCGAAGGCGGGCCUCUGGACAGUUCCUGACACUGAGACACGAAGGCCAGGGGAGCAAACGGG
rnacentral:rRNA from 1 species